rnacentral:misc_RNA from 1 species
AACAAGGCGUACCUGCGGACCUGCGGAGGGAUCAUUAUCGAGUGUAACCUACCCCGCAAAAAAGGGUGGUACCUCCCGUCCUUUGCAGGCCCCCCUUUUGAUGGGGGGGCUUUUUAAGACUUUCUGCUUCGGCGGGGUUACUCCCGCCGGAACACCCUCAAAAAAACUCUUGAUCAAAAACCGUUCAGUCCGAGAAUUUUUGAAAAUUAAAAAAAAACUUUCAACAAUGGAUCUCAGAUC